rnacentral:rRNA from 1 species
AUUGAACGCUGGCGGCAUGCUUUACACAUGCAAGUCGAACGGUAACAGGGUGCUUGCACCGCUGACGAGUGGCGAACGGGUGAGUAAUGCGUCGGAACGUGCCGAGUAGUGGGGGAUAACGCAGCGAAAGUUGUGCUAAUACCGCAUACGUACUGAGGUAGAAAGUGGGGGACCUUCGGGCCUCACGCUAUUCGAGCGGCCAACGUCUGAUUAGCUAGUUGGUGAGGUAAAGGCUCACCAAGGCGACGAUCAGUAGCGGGUCUGAGAGGAUGAUCCGCCACACUGGGACUGAGACACGGCCCAGACUCCUACGGGAGGCAGCAGUGGGGAAUUUUGGACAAUGGGCGCAAGCCUGAUCCAGCCAUGCCGCGUGUCUGAAGAAGGCCUUCGGGUUGUAAAGGACUUUUGUCCGGGAGCAAAUGCUGGUGGCUAACAUCCACCGGAGCUGAGAGUACCGGAAGAAUAAGCACCGGCUAACUACGUGCCAGCCGCCGCAGUAACAC